rnacentral:rRNA from 1 species
ACGGGAGGCAGCAGUGGGGAAUAUUGCACAAUGGGGGAAACCCUGAUGCAGCGACGCCGCGUGAGUGAAGAAGUAUUUCGGUAUGUAAAGCUCUAUCAGCAGGGAAGAAAAUGACGGUACCUGACUAAGAAGCCCCGGCUAACUACGUGCCAGCAGCCGCGGUAGUACGUAGGGGGCAAGCGUUAUCCGGAUUUACUGGGUGUAAAGGGAGCGUAGACGGCGAUGCAAGUCUGAUGUGAAAGCCCGGGGCUCAACCCCGGCACUGCAUUGGAAACUGUGUUGCUAGAGUGCAGGAGAGGUAAGUGGAAUUCCUAGUGUAGCGGUGAAAUGCGUAGAUAUUAGGAGGAACACCAGUGGCGAAGGCGGCUUACUGGACGGUAACUGACGUUGAGGCUCGAAAGCGUGGGGAGCAAACAGGAUUAGAUACCCUGGUA